UAUGAUAUAUGUACUUUGGAAAAAGAAAUCAAAUAGCUUCAAAUGACAUGGAUUUACAUUGAUACAUUGAGUUAAUGAUACUUGGCCCUGGUAAACGUAAUAGGAGUCGAGGUUAGCUUAAGGGUAUGGCAUGCCAUAUAAACAUACAGAGUUCGCAGUACUGCUACCGAAUACAUGAUCUAUAUUAGAGGUUACAUAUCUGGUACCUCAUAAGCAUGGCCACAGAGCCCUGCUAUCACAGUUUUGGCCUCUGAGCCUACCGUUCGGCACCCUGUGCCUAUCGUUAUAACUCCUUAUCUACCUAGUCGAUCCUACUAUGUGGUUAUAAGGGCUAAGAUCUUAAUUAAGAUUGAUACUUGAUUUUGUGACCUUAUUGGUGAAUGUUAACAUGUUUACAUCUACUAGCUUGUAAUUGUUUACUUGAUUAUCUAUUUAUGCGAGCUUGUUUGUUUUAUUCUGUUAUUUGUUGUUAUCACCCACUGAGCAUUAGCUCAGCGUGUUGGGUUUUACCUCACGCAGGUUGUAGAUCACGUAGGCACGUGAAGUUCAUCAGAGGUCUACAUCAGAUACCAAGGCCAUUAUCAUAGCUGGUUGUUUUGAGUCUCUGAGUCAUAGUGCAGUUAUAAUUUGGCAUGUACAUAUUUAAUAGAGUGAGUUGUAAAGGUUAUGUAAUCAAAGAAUAGUAAGAUGUCAAAUAUUAGUUGAUAAUUUUUCAUGUGUUUUUCAUGUGCUACAGUUUGAAAUAUUAAUGAAACAGAUGAGAC
rnacentral:lncRNA from 1 species